UACACUCGCGUUAUCGCUUCCCUCGCUCUUCUCCGAAUUCUUCUCAUGUGGUCUUGGCGGGGCAGAGGGAUGCCUAUCGGAGGGAUUCCUAUUCGACACUUAUAUUCGAAUGUUUGUGUCGUCUGCGCUGCUGUUAUCGGAAAAAAAGUCGCACGAAUUGACACUUUAUUUCGGAUCAACUUUUCGACGGCACAGUAUUUCGAGAGACUGAAGAGAGACAGAGUCUGAAGAGGCCAGAGUGAAAAAUAAGCAUUGGAAGGCACUGUCAAGGUUGUCGUGGCCAUUUCUCCCAAUUGCCGCGUGCGAUAAGCGGAUCGAGGGGUUUGUUGUCGCACCCACGCGUGUGUCGACGUGCGGGUGAUCGGAGGCUGCGACCGGCUCGAAGGAAGGGAGAUCAUACGACACAUUUUAUCAUUGCCAGACGAGAAAAAAACAUGAUUUCAGAUAUCUUUCCAUUCCGGAGGGAGUUGAAGGCGUGGUGUAUUCAAAAGAGUGAACAUAGAUUGAAAAUCUCUUUCGAAACGUAAUAAGCAAAUUAUCUCUCAACAAUAAAUAAUAAAUAAUUUUAUUCUUGACUAAACGUUCCAGUAGUUAAUCGAUCGUUUUAAUUGUUAAAAGCCUCCUUGAACAGUUUUUAAAGUAAUAUUUUUUCUGUUUUCAAUUAUACACUACAGGUAGUGAUUACAUUACAAGGAAAAACGAAUGGGUGUGAUUAAUAAUUGUAUAACUUGAUGUGUUAAUUGCAUAGAUAUGCAAUUGUUGUUCUAGUUUUACAUAAAUAAGAAGGUUCUUGUCGUUGGAAUCAUGCACUAGGUGCGUAAAAGGAAUAAUAUCGAAGAGGAAUUUUACUAUAUUUCCAACGUAGAUUUUAUUAUAGAUUCAAGAGGGAAAUAUUGUUGUUUAUCAGCGAUCAGUUGAUCAGUGAUAACAGUGAAAAAAUUAUAGAUUACCAAUAUGUUGUGAAGUUGUACGAAAUCCUUGUUUAUAACUUUCUUAGUUAUCACCGAUAAACUAGCUGCUUGAUCAGCAAAAAAAUAUCGCAAAACAUAAACUGUCAAGAAAAAAAAAACUGAGAAUCAUCCGUUAACGUCAUAUUUAAUAAGUAUAUAUGUAAGUAUACGUAAAAAUAGGCAUUUCCGAAAAGAUAAUAUAUUCUCAUGUUAUCGUUUCGUUCGAUUUUUUUAAAUAUACAAUUUUGCAGUACUAAAAAAUUAGGCGUAUUGCAAUCUGCUUAUUAAAAUUUCGAAAAUCGAAUUAAUUUUGAAUACCUACAUUGAACUAUUUUAU